rnacentral:rRNA from 1 species
AGAGUUUGAUCCUGGCUCAGGAUGAACGCUAGCGGCAGGCUUAACACAUGCAAGUCGAGGGGCAGCAUAAUGGAUAGCAAUAUCUAUGGUGGCGACCGGCGCACGGGUGCGUAACGCGUAUGCAACCUACCUUUAACUAGGGGGAUAACACUGAGAAAUUAGUACUAAUACCCCAUAAUAUCAUAGAAGGCAUCUUUUAUGGUUGAAAAUUCCGAUGGUUAGAGAUGGGCAUGCGUUGUAUUAGCUAGUUGGUGGGGUAACGGCUCACCAAGGCGACGAUACAUAGGGGGACUGAGAGGUUAACCCCCCCACACUGGUACUGAGACACGGACCAGACUCCUACGGGAGGCAGCA